rnacentral:lncRNA from 1 species
AUGUCAAAUCCUGGAGAGAGCAAGAAGGGCAGACUGGCCGAGGAGAACGUCAUUGGCGCCCUUCAGGUGAGAGUGCGAACAGUCCUGGAUUUGAAAGGAGAGCCACGUACUGGAAGAAAUGCAAAGGAGAUGGGUUGGAGGGAGUUAACACCGACAGUGGAGGUGCUCUACACACCACAAGCCCUGUACACGAACAUUGACAAAAUUCCUUUGCUGGUGUCCUCUUCCCCUUAUAAGGACCAUCUGUAUGCUGUUCAUAAAAUUAACUGACCUAAUGUCCAUCACAGUAGAAGAGAAGCACUAGGACAAGUGAAUCUGAGAUGUUCUUAUGACGGUUGAAGUCAAGAAAGUUUUUCUGAUGCUAAGAAGAAUUGUAAAAUAGGCUAGUAACCUAUUAUUGGUCAUUGGCAUCUAUUCGUUUCAUUUUUAUUGUGUGUGCUAGCUUGUAUAGCUUUAGAAUUGUAUUGAAGUAAAGGAAAAUAAAAUUGGAGAUUAUGCAAUAGUUUGGUGGGCACAAACUCUUAAAAAGCGAGCAGAGUUGUAUAGUUUCCUGGAGAAUUUUAUUUAGACAUUUUAG